rnacentral:rRNA from 1 species
UAAGGAAUAUUGGUCAAUGGACGCAAGUCUGAACCAGCCAUGCCGCGUGAAGGAUGAAGGUCCUCUGGAUUGUAAACUUCUUUUAUGUGGGACGAAAUGCAUUUUUUCUAAAGUGUUUGACGGUACCAUAGGAAUAAGCACCGGCUAACUCCGUGCCAGCAGCCGCGGUAAUACGGAGGGUGCAAGCGUUAUCCGGAUUCACUGGGUUUAAAGGGUGCGUAGGUGGGGGCUUGUAAGUCAGUGGUGAAAUCUCCGGGCUUAACCCGGAAACUGCCAUUGAUACUAUAGGUCUUGAAUUAUCUGGAGGUCAGCGGAAUAUGUCAUGUAGCGGUGAAAUGCUUAGAUAUGACAUAGAACACCGAUUGCGAAGGCAGCUGGCUACGGGUGGAUUGACACUGAGGCACGAAAGCGUGGGGAUCAAACAGGAUUAGAUACCCUGGUAGUCCACGCCCUAAACGAUGGAUACUCGACAUUUGUGAUAGACGAUAAGUGUCUGAGCGAAA